rnacentral:misc_RNA from 1 species
AUGGUUGUAAUUCCGGCAACCCGGAGACGUUCUGGACGCGGGUUCGAUUCCCGCCACCUCCA